rnacentral:rRNA from 1 species
AGCAGCCGCGGUAAUUCCAGCUCCAAUAGCGUAUAUUAAAGUUGUUGCAGUUAAAAAGCUCGUAGUUGAAUUUCGGGAUUGACGUGAUGGUCAUGCCUUAAGGGGUAUGAACUGUUACUGUUGAUUUCUCACCUUCUGGAGAAACUUGAUGUCCUUUAUUGGGUGUCUUGCGGAUCCAGGACCUUUACCUUGAAAAAAUUUAGAGUGUUUAAAGCAGGCAUUUUUGCUCGAAUACAUUAGCAUGGAAUAAUAGAAUAGGACGGCAUGGUUCUAUUUUGUUGGUUUCUAGGAUCACCGUAAUGAUUAAUAGGGAUAGUUGGGGGCAUUAGUAUUCAAUUGUCAGAGGUGAAAUUCUUGGAUUUAUUGAAGACUAACUACUGCGAAAGCAUUUGCCAAGGAUGUUUUCAUUAAUCAAGAACGAAAGUUAGGGGAUCGAAGACGAUCAGAUACCGUCGUAGUCUUAACCAUAAACUAUGCCGACUAGGAAUCAGACGAUGUUAAUUUUUUAAUGACUCGUUUG